rnacentral:rRNA from 1 species
CCUACGGGUGGCAGCAGUGAGGAAUAUUGGUCAAUGGCCGGAAGGCUGACCCAGCCAAGCCGCGUGAAGGAUGAAGGAUCUAUGGUUUUUAAACUUCUUUUAUAUGGGAAUGAAGUGAGGAACGUGUUCCUUUUUGUAUGUGCCAUAUGAAUAAGCAUCGGCUAACUCCGUGCCAGCAGCCGAGGUAAUACGGGGGAUUCGAGCGUUAUCCGGAUUUAUUGGGUAUAAAGGGUGCGUAGGUGGAUAAUUAAGUCAGCGGUGAAAGUUUGUGGCUCAACCAUAAAACUGCCGUUGAAACUGGUUGACUUGAGUAUAGUUGAGGUAGGCGGAAUGCGUGGUGUAGCGGUGAAAUGCAUAGAUAUCACGCAGAACACCGAUUGCGAAGGCAGCUUACUAAACUACAACUGACACUGAAGCACGAAAGCGUGGGGAUCAAACAGGAUUAGAUACCCUGGUAGUC